GGGGGUGACUGGCUUUGACGGUCUGUCCUUUGAAAAACGUGCGACGCGGUGCAUGCUCGAGAGCCACCUUAAUCCGCUCGAGCACCAAACUUGCCAACACUUCUGUUGCAAGCGCGAAGAAGUCGCCUUACUUCGGUAAGGUCGGCGAUAUCGCGUUCGCCUACGCGACGGCUCGCGCUGCUCUCCACCGGCGCUCACAGCGCGAGAGCGGGCGGAAUAUCCUGUGAGCUAGAGCUCCGGUCUCCCAGCCGGCCGCUCGAACCUGCGGGAUCGGAGAGGAGCGAUUUCGUUCUGAUUUCUUACGCCCUCCCCUAAACCUUAAUCGGGACUAUGCGUCGUAGAAACGCUUUCAGAGCCGGAUUCGGACGCGGAUUCGAUUUCCGCCACCUCCACUG
rnacentral:tmRNA from 1 species